rnacentral:lncRNA from 1 species
AGACAGUUUAUAAAUCCUUCUCGACUACCUUGGAGCUUGUGGUAUAGGAACUAGGUUGUUAUAUUUGUUGAUUAUUAUCUUGUCUCUCAAAGAACCCAUUCUUUGAGUUCUAUCUCUCAUUCAUUUGCACUUAGGCAAAUCAUAUUGUAAGAUUACAAUGAACUACCCAACAAAACAACAUUUGUUAGUUGGUUUAUAGAAGCGAUAUCCAAAAGUUAAUUUAAGGAUAUCCCACAAGAUUGUUAUCAAACAAAUAUUGCUUAUUAGCACAAAACCCCAAAUCUUAACAUGCUUGAGAUUUGUCUUUUUUUCCAACUACAUCUUAUGGAGUCAUGAAAAUUUUGGAAGAUCUUCUAAUUGACAAUCAUAUUGUUUUUAGAAGUAUAUAUCCUAUAUAUGGGUAAUAGAUAACAUCUAAUGAACUAAAUCUUAUUCGAGUUCGUUCUUCUCCUAAUAGAGAAAUUCAUUAUCUUAUGAUGCUAUUUUCCUUGAUAUCUUUCAAGGAAACUCAUCUAAAGUGUUACUUUUCCUUGGAUCAAAUCUAAGGAGGUAAAUACUUUAGAUGUCUUACUCAUCAACUUACAUUUCUUGAAUUCUUUGAAACAUUUUACAAAGUAUUCGGACUUGUGUUUAUUCAAAAAUAAACUAUAGUCCAACCGAGAGUGAUCUUCGGUGAAUGUCAUCCAUCAUGAGUAGUAUUAUGUUGUGGACAAGUGCCAUUAACAUCUAAGUGAAUUAACCUCAACAACUUUGUGAUUCUUUCUUCUUUCCAAAAGAAUAAAGAUUAGAACAUUUUGCCUCUAUACAAUUUAACAAGAAGGUAUUAGAUCCGGAUCUAACGAUCCAAAGCAUCCAUCUCUGAUCAACUCGUAAUUUAUGUUUUAGAGGUAUCACAACUCAGUUGGGAUUAGUCACUAUCUUGCAGCCUUUUGGGUUUUUAAGCAUCAUUAUAUUCUAAACAGUUAACACUACCAUAUCAUCUCCACUAUAGAGACAAUCAAUUAGAUUACUAUAAUCCAAUUAUUGACUAAUAAAGAACAAUGUUUUGUCAAACAAAACAUUCAUCCAUCUCUACUAUAGUGAUGGAAUUAAGUUCCUUAAAAUUGGAAUGUAAAGACAAUCUUUGGUUUUUCCAAUUUCUUUGGUAGUACAUAUGAGGAAGUAAGUACUAUUUGCUUUCGCAGAGAUCUUUAUUUUAUUCACGUUCCAAAUGUGAAUCACCUUUUUCUUCUCUCAUAUAUCUUCUACUUCUUAUUAGUCACACUUUUACAACGAUUGUAAAACAUAGUUACUAAUACGGAAUCAAGCAUUCAAGUAGAAGAACCAACUGUUUUGAACUAUUCAAGAACAAUUUACAACACCUUCGAAAGGUGUGUUCUUGACACUUGCAAGACAUUUCUUGCAAAUACCCCUUCCAAUGUCCAUCCUUUCAUAAAGAAAGUUUGUUCCCUUGGAGUUAAUUUUAUCUUCUUCAUUUGACUUCUCCUUUGACUACAAUAGUCAUGGUCCCUAAACUCCCACUAUCUCUUUUGAAACUUAUUUCAAUUGUGUUAUACACUUCAAAAAUUUUGGAGAGCAUGUGUUUAUUGUUCACUACAUAGUUUACAAUAAACUUAGUGAACCAUUAGGAUAGAGACAUAAAGGUGAAGUCCUAGCCUAGUUUCCGUCUCGUUAAGUGGUUUAUCACUUC